UACGUAGGGGGCGAGCGUUGUCCGGAUUUACUGGGCGUAAAGCGCACGCAGGCGGUCUGCUAAGUUUGGAGUGACAGUUGGUGGCUUAACUGCCAAAGUGCUUCGAAAACUGACAGACUUGAGGGCUUCAGAGGGACACGGAAUUCCGGGUGGAGUGGUGAAAUGCGUAGAGACCCGGAGGAACACCAGUGGCGAAGGCGGCUUCCUGGUCUGCAACUGACGCUGUGGCGCGAAAGCUAGGGGAGCAAACGGG
rnacentral:rRNA from 1 species